AGUGACAAGAAAUAACAAUACAGGACCUUUUGGUUUUGUAAUUGGAAUGAGUUAAGUAUAAACCCCUUUACAAGUAUCAAUUGGAGGGCAAGUCUGGUGCCAGCAGCCGCGGUAAUUCCAGCUCCAAUAGCGUAUAUUAAAGUUGUUGCAGUUAAAAAGCUCGUAGUUGGAUUUCUGUUAACAAUUUAUAUAAAAUAUUUUGAUGAAUAUUUAUAUAAUAUUAACAUAAUUCAUGUUACUAUUUUUUUUUAGUAUAUGAAAUUUUACUUUGAGAAAAUUAGAGUGCUUAAAGCAGG
rnacentral:rRNA from 1 species